rnacentral:rRNA from 1 species
CGUAAAGCGCACGCAGGCGGUCUGUCAAGUCGGAUGUGAAAUCCCCGGGCUCAACCUGGGAACUGCAUUCGAAACUGGCAGGCUUGAGUCUUGUAGAGGGGGGUAGAAUUCCAGGUGUAGCGGUGAAAUGCGUAGAGAUCUGGAGGAAUACCGGUGGCGAAGGCGGCCCCCUGGACAAAGACUGACGCUCAGGUGCGAAAGCGUGGGGAGCAAACAGGAUUAGAUACCCUGGUAGUCCACGCCGUAAACGAUGUCUACUUGGAGGUUGUGCCCUUGAGGCGUGGCUUCCGGAGCUAACGCGUUAAGUAGACCGCCUGGGGAGUACGGCCGCAAGGUUAAAACUCAAAUGAAUUGACGGGGGCCCGCACAAGCGGUGGAGCAUGUGGUUUAAUUCGAUGCAACGCGAAGAACCUUAC